rnacentral:rRNA from 1 species
AACGAACGCUGGCGGCAUGCCUAACACAUGCAAGUCGAACGAAGGCUUCGGCCUUAGUGGCGCACGGGUGCGUAACGCGUGGGAACCUGCCCCUCGGUUCGGAAUAACAGUUAGAAAUGACUGCUAAUACCGGAUGAUGACUUCGGUCCAAAGAUUUAUCGCCGAGGGAUGGGCCCGCGUAGGAUUAGCUAGUUGGUGGGGUAAAGGCCUACCAAGGCGACGAUCCUUAGCUGGUCUGAGAGGAUGAUCAGCCACACUGGGACUGAGACACGGCCCAGACUCCUACGGGAGGCAGCAGUGGGGAAUAUUGGACAAUGGGCGAAAGCCUGAUCCAGCAAUGCCGCGUGAGUGAAGAAGGCC